rnacentral:rRNA from 1 species
AGAACGAACGCUGGCGGCAGGCCUAACACAUGCAAGUCGAACGCCGUAGCAAUACGGAGUGGCAGACGGGUGAGUAACGCGUGGGAACCUUCCCUAUGGUUCGGAAUAGCUCAGGGAAACCUGGGGUAAUACCGGAUAAGCCCUUCGGGGGAAAGAUUUAUCGCCAUUGGAUGGGCCCGCGUAGGAUUAGCUAGUUGGUGAGGUAACGGCUCACCAAGGCGACGAUCCUUAGCUGGUCUGAGAGGAUGAUCAGCCACAUUGGGACUGAGACACGGCCCAAACUCCUACGGGAGGCAGCAGUGGGGAAUAUUGCGCAAUGGGCGAAAGCCUGACGCAGCGACGCCGCGUGAGGGACGAAGGCCUUCGGGUUGUAAACCUCUUUCAGCAGGGACGAAGCGAAAGUGACGGUACCUGCAGAAGAAGCACCGGCCAACUACGUGCCAGCAGCCGC